UGAUGACCUGGGUAAGAGGUGAUAAGUCGUCUAGACAGCAGCAUCAACUCCUCUGGUGUCUUCUACACUGACUCUAAGGCAGAGAGGUCUGCAGAGACGGUGAGGAACCUGUGUGUUUCCCAACCUACGCACAGUAUGUGUUGAUGAUGGAGUACUGUAUUCCAGUAGUGUGUUCAGACACACAGUAUCCACCCUAAUGUUGUAUAUUCUGUCUCUGACAGGAAAGACUACCGCCCCACGUGGAACCUGAGACAGUCUGAGCCAAUUGCUGGCAACUAUUACCAAUCAACCUAGAGCUUACAUUAAGGAUGACAAGGACCAGCUGACUGUAGUGACGGACCGUUCUCAGGGAGGGGGCAGCAUCCAGGAUGGAUCAGGAGAUCAUGGUAACACACACACUCUCUCACUACUCUUCAUUUUUCAUGUGGUAGGAUUUUGGCAUCAAAGACAUCUGUUGUGUGUGUUUCACGUCUCAUCUCUUUCCCCCGGCUCCACACCCGGUCUCUUUAUCACUGUCACAUCUGACACACUCCAUCCACACGACCCCCCCAGCUCCACCGAGGUUGCGUGACGACGUCCGGGGUGUAGGUGAGCCCCUCAAUGAGACGUCUGACAUUUACCCAGAAGGCCUGGUGGUUCGUGGUCGCCACCUCCUUUCCCUCAGCCCCCCUGCCACGCUGCUGACCACACACGCCCCCUAGCACAGGAAGUGGUACUGCAGCCUCUCAUCACAUUCACCGACGGAGAGCUGCACCCGAGUACCAGGCUGAGGUGAGAGAGGAGCCCAUCACAAAUGAUUCUUUCCUCAAGUUCUCCUCCUUGCCUCUUUCUCAACCGUAUUGGAGAAGGUUCAAGGUCCCGCCCCUCAGGCCUUCUUCAAUGGAUUUUGAGAAAGAGGUGAGGCAUCUAGGAAAGGAGGAGAGUGAAGGAGGAGGCUGAUUGAGGAACAGUUAUCAGCCUGCAGAUGAAAUGUGUCACUUUGGACUAUGAAGAACCCAUCUUUGAACCCCCCCACCUCAGUUCUCUGGGCUACAGGCAGUGCUGCCCCCUGCUGUUCACUGUUGACAGUGUCCAUUGGACCAGGCACAGUGCCCAGACUGGAGCAUCAGUACCAAGCUUCAGAGAGCAAGGAGCAUCAAGCCUGUUACUGUUAAUCUGCAGAAGCUGUUCUCCACUCUAG
rnacentral:lncRNA from 1 species